CGCUAUCACUCCUACGGGAGGCAGCAGUGGGGAAGUUUGGACAAUGGGGGCAACCCUGAUCCAGCCAUUCCGCGUGAGUGAAGAAGGCCUUCGGGUUGUAAAGCUCUUUCGGCAGGAACGAAACGGCGAGCUCUAACAUAGCUUGCUAAUGACGGUACCUGAAGAAGAAGCACCGGCUAACUACGUGCCAGCAGCCGCGGUAAUACGUAGGGUGCGAGCGUUAAUCGGAAUUACUGGGCGUAAAGCGUGCGCAGGCGGUUGUGUAAGACAGGUGUGAAAUCCCCGGGCUUAACCUGGGAACUGCGCUUGUGACUGCACGGCUAGAGUAUGGCAGAGGGGGGUGGAAGUUCCACGUGUAGCAGUGAAAUGCGUAGAGAUGUGGAGGAACACCGAUGGCGAAGGCAGCCCCCUCGGGCCAAUACUGACGCUCAUGCACGAAAGCGUGGGGAGCAAACAGGAUUAGAUACCCUGGUAG
rnacentral:rRNA from 1 species